ACAUAGGGUGCAAGCGUUGUCCGGAAUUAUUGGGCGUAAAGAGCUCGUAGGUCGUUUGUCGCGUCGAUUGUGAAAAUCUGAGGCUCAACCUCAGACCUGCAGUCGAUACGGGCAAACUAGAGUGUGGUAGGGGAGACUGGAAUUCCUGGUGUAGCGGUGGAAUGCGCAGAUAUCAGGAGGAACACCGAUGGCGAAGGCAGGUCUCUGGGCCAAUACUGACACUGAGGAGCGAAAGCGUGGGGAGCGAACAGGAUUAGAUACCCUGGUAGUCCACGCCGUAAACGGUGGGCGCUAGUUGUGCGAACCUUCCACGGUUUGUGCGACGCAGCUAACGCAUUAAGCGCCCCGCCUGGGGAGUACGAUCGCAAGAUUA
rnacentral:rRNA from 1 species